GACGAAUGCAGGCCGAAAUGCUGGUUCAGGAGUUGGAAAUACACAGUGGAGAGAAUGCUGACUGGUUGCAUCACGGCCUGGUAUGGGAACACCAAUCUCCUUGAAUGUAGAAGCCUAAAGAAAGCCUAGUGGAUACUGCCCAGUCCGUCACAGUUUUUCAGUGAUUCCAUUGAAUUUCUUUGUAUCGACUGUGAAUGCCUGCAAGAAUGAAUCUGAGGGUAAUAUCUGGUGACAGAAAUGUACUUUGAUGAUAAAUUUUCUUUGAACUUUGAGACAACAACCCGGAACCAAGACAUUGUCCUGCUCCUGUCAGACUGGUAAUGACACGAUGUAAACGGCAGAGGGCGGCAUUGCCACACGGAGAAACUCAGAACGACAGAGGCUUCCGAGCUGAAAUCUUCCCUGCAGCCGCAGUAAAAGAUUGUGUUUUCCUCUCUCAGUCACCUCGAUCAGCUCUGGGAUGCCAGACCGUCAAACUAGCCCAGAAGUCAGAACAAGCGAAUG